UCCCUCAUAGCUCAGUCGGUAAAGAAUCUGCCUGCAACGUAGGAGGCUCAGGUUCAAUUCCUGGGUUGGGAA
rnacentral:tRNA from 1 species